rnacentral:lncRNA from 1 species
GCCCUCACCUCAAAUGGCUCUCAGCGCCCUACAGGACACUGGCCGAACUAAACCACCGCACGCUCCUGGCCGCUCCUUUCCAGCACUGUGCCGGACAAUUGUCCACGCCCUACAGGACAGCCAGAAACACACAGCGAUGGGACCAGACCAUGGCACAAUCCUGGCCUUGCUACACUCGACCACUCAGCUGGAAGGAAGAGCUGCCAGCUCUCUACAGGAGAGCCAGACACACAAUGCAAUGGGACCAGACCACGGCACUCUCCUGGCCUCGCUCCCCUUAAGAACUCAGCAGAAGAUGACAACACUCUACAGGACAGAUAAGACAGCCCCAACCCAUUCCCCACCACGGUCCCACCUCGCUCAGUGGGAACGUGACACGGUUGAGCUACAACCAACAUCUCCUGGACUUCAGGAAGAUGCGAGUUGGACGGCCUUGGUGUGAGGCUGGGAGAGCCUCGCGCAGGGAGGCAGGGAUGGCUUCCAGUGCUGGCAGGGGUGGCUGCUCGGUUUCUCGCCUCCUCUAUUACAGCUGGACACACGGACAGUGACGGAAUGAAGCCAUGGCACACCCCUGGCCUCUCUCCCCUUGAGAAGUCAGCUGGAAAAGCUGUCAGUGUUCUCCAGGACAGG